GACGAACGCUGGCGGCGUGCUUAACACAUGCAAGUCGAACGAAGUAGCGAACGGGUGAGUAACGCAUAAUCAACCUGCCCUUCAGAGGGGCACAACAGUUGGACACGACUGCUAAUACCGCAUACUGAAGGAGGGGAUUGCGUCUGAUUAGCUAGUUGGAGGGGUAACGGCCCACCAAGGCGAUGCUCAGUAGCCGGGCUGGGAGGAGGAACGGCCACAAUGGGAAUGAGAAAAGGCCCAGAACCCUACGGGAGGCAGCAGGGGGGAAUCUUCCGAAAUGGACGAAAGUCUGACGGAGCAAAGCCGCGGGAGUGAUGACGGCCUUCGGGGUGUAAAGCUCUGUUAAGCGGGACGCGGUACCGGAAUAGAAAGCCACGGCUAACUACGUGCCAGCCGCCGCGGUAAUUC
rnacentral:rRNA from 1 species